GUGCUCACUUUGGCAGCACAUAUACUAUAAUUGGAACAGAGAAGAUUAGCAUGGCCCCUGAGCAAGGAUGACACACAAAUUCGUGAAGCUCUGGACUGGAAA
ensembl:snRNA U6 U6 spliceosomal RNA